UUCAAUGGGGGUUGGAACUUCCAGACCAAAGCUGGAAUGGCUACCCACCACACAACUGCUACACAAAGGACCUCUAAGAAUUUUAAGGACAUUUGGUAUUUUUGAAACUCAAUGCAAAACAUUUCUUGAGCUGUGAAUAUAGCUAGGGCUGUCAUCAUUUGGUACCUAGCCAGUGGCAGGGCUCCUUACGGGCAAGUCCAGGCAUGAAGAUCGAAGUCACCAGUGCCCCAGUCAUCAACUUUUGAGCCUGGCUUCCUUCCCUUUCCUCAGCAGACAACGCAUUUGCUGCAUGUCCCAGGUGCUCCAUGUGCCAACAUGUGCUCUUCUCACUCUGGAACAGCUGCAUUGCAUGGAGGACCACAGUUUCCCACACAUUCCAACUGGACAAUAGUGAGCACAUCUAAAGAACACCAAUAAAGCUUCCAUAGGUAUCAAUA